rnacentral:rRNA from 1 species
GACAGAGGGGGCAAGCGUUGCUCGGAAUUACUGGGCGUAAAGGGCGCGUAGGCGGGAUGGCAAGUCGGUCGUGAAAUCCCUCGGCUCAACCGAGGAACGUCGAUCGAUACUGCUGUUCUUGAGGAUUGCAGAGGAGACUGGAAUUCCCGGUGUAGCGGUGAAAUGCGUAGAUAUUCGGAAGAACACCAGUGGCGAAGGCGACUCACUGGACACGUAUUGACGCUGAGGUGCGAAAGCGUGGGGAGCAAACAGGG